GGUAAAGGAUGGGGAUGCGUCCGAUUAGCUGUUGGCGGGGUAACGGCCCACCAAGGCAUCGAUCGGUAGGGGUUCUGAGAGGAAGGUCCCCCACACUGGGACUGAGACACGGUCCAGACUCCUACGGGAGGCAGCAGUGAGGAAUAUUGGUCAAUGGCCGUAAGGCUGAACCAGCCAAGUAGCGUGAGGGAAGACUGCCCUAUGGGUUGUAAACCUCUUUUAUGCGGGGAUAAAGGUGUCCACGUGUGGAUGUUUGCAGGUACCGCAUGAAUAAGGACCGGCUAAUUCCGUGCCAGCAGCCGCGGUAAUACGGAAGGUCCGGGCGUUAUCCGGAUUUAUUGGGUUUAAAGGGAGCGUAGGCCGGUCUUUAAGCGUGCCGUGAAAUUUUGUGGCUCAACCAUGAGAGUGCGGCGCGAACUGGAGACCUUGAGUGCGCGGAAGGCAGGCGGAAUUCGUGGUGUAGCGGUGAAAUGCUUAGAUAUCACGAAGAACCCCGAUUGCGAAGGCAGCCUGCCGCAGCGUUACUGACGCUGAAGCUCGAAAGCGCGGGUAUCGAACAGGAUUAGAUACCCUGGUAGUCCGCGCGGUAAACGAUGGAUGCCCGCUGUCGGCGAUAUACAGUCG
rnacentral:rRNA from 1 species